UACGUAGGGGGCAAGCGUUGUCCGGAAUUAUUGGGCGUAAAGCGCGCGCAGGCGGUUCGUUAAGUUUGGGUGUUUAAUCCCGGGGCUCAACCCCGGUUCGCAUCCAAAACUGAUGAACUUGAGUGUAGGAGAGGAAAGUGGAAUUCCACGUGUAGCGGUGAAAUGCGUAGAGAUGUGGAGGAACACCAGUGGCGAAGGCGAGUCCCUGGACAACACCUGACACUGGAGGCACGAAAGCUAGGGGAGCAAACAGG
rnacentral:rRNA from 1 species